rnacentral:rRNA from 1 species
AUGGACCGCUACAGAGUGGCGCCGGCGCGGCCUGUCUUCCUCUCCGGCCACCUGCAGCCCGCGGCUGCCACCCGGCGCUCGGGCGGCGCCGAGCGGGAGCUCGACAUCUUCACGGCCGAUCGCUACUUCAACGCCGCGGACGCCGUCAAGUACAGCGCCGCCGCGGUCCAUGCGGACGACCCGCCGCGCCAGCUGCCCGUCGCUGCCGUGGAUGCGGCGGCAAGCCAGAGCAGCCUCACCGCGGCGUCGUCCGAGGUGAGCUGGAACAGCCGCUCCGGGCUGCUCGCCAGCAACCAGUCGCCGUCGGCGGCUAGGCAGCACGACAAGGGCUAUGGCGGUGGCGUCAACGGCGUCGUCGUCCUAGAUACGAGGGACGAUCGGUAUCACCGCGGCGGCAAGAAGCCUGCCGCCGCCGGCUUCGGGCAGCGCUGGGGGAUCUUCAGCCGGGACUGCCCCUGCGCCGGCAGGAAGGCCGUCACCGUCGACGUCGCCUCCGAGCCGACCACCCCGAGGGUCCACGCGAGGUUCGACGCCAGGGAGGAGAGCGCCGUCUUUAAGGCCAACGGGCUGCCUCCUCCGUCUACAAACGACGAGCCCGGCGUGAUGAAGAUUUUUACGACGGGGAGCUGCGCGUUCCCGCUUCGCGCCAACAACAACAUCCUCGCUCCGGCUACAGAUCAUGGGACCAGCGCUUCUUUCCCCGCAUUCCCGCCCGACGUAGGCCGCCGCGUGGUGAGCUCUGGCGGAUUCACCUUCCCGGUGAUCAGCCCGUCCAAGGCCAUCAGCAGCAGCGUCGUCGACGAGCCGCCGCGCGAGUCGCUGGAGGUGUUCCGUCCCAUCGACGAGGACUCGGUGGUGCUCGUGGACCCGCCGCCACCCCUAGCCGCGGCCGCUUUUCUGCGCGCGCCGGCGGUAGUGUCGGCCAUGGACGACGACGCGAUGAGCGACGCGAGCUCCGACCUGUUCGACCUGGAGAGCUUCGCGGCGUCAUCGUCGUACCCGACCACGUACCGUGGUCGCAGUAGCCGGCGCAACUCGGGGGACGACGACCUGGAGUACGCCACCGCGGCCGCGGAGCCAGCGCUGAGCGAGUGCAUGUACGCGCCGAGCGAGGCGAGCGUGGUGUGGAGCGUGGCCACGGCCGAGGGCGUGGCCUACGACACCGGCAGCGUGGCCAACUUCUCGAGCGCGGCGUCCGCGUGCGGCGUCGACGAGUUCCGGUUCGUCCCGCCCGGGUCCGCCGCCGGCCACGACGGCUUCACCGCCGCCAUGUCCCGAAGCGCCGGCCGCAAGAAAGGCGGCGGGUUCUUGGACAGCUGCCGGUGCGAGAAGGCCGUGAGCGUCGGGCCGACCCCGGUCCGUGUGGCCCGCCCGCCGGCGGUCCCGGCCAAGACGGCGAUGGGGCCUGAAAGCGGCGGCGUCGCGCGCUACCACAACCGCCGCGUCCACAUGCCGGUUCGGUCGUGA